rnacentral:rRNA from 1 species
CCUACGGGAGGCAGCAGUGAGGAAUAUUGGUCAAUGGACGAGAGUCUGAACCAGCCAAGUAGCGUGAAGGAUGACUGCCCUAUGGGUUGUAAACUUCUUUUAUAUGGGAAUAAAAUGUUCCACGUGUGGGAUACUGUAUGUACCAUAUGAAAAAGGAUCGGCUAACUCCGUGCCAGCAGCCGCGGUAAUACGGAGGAUCCGAGGUUUAUCCGGAUUUAUUGGGUUUAAAGGGAGCGUAGGUGGAUUGUUAAGUCAGUUGUGAAAGUUUGCGGCUCAACCGUAAAAUUGCAGUUGAAACUGGCAGUCUUGAGUGCAGUAGAGGUGGGCGGAAUUCGUGGUGUAGCGGUGAAAUGCUUAGAUAUCACGAAGAACUCCGAUUGCGAAGGCAGCUCACUGGCCUGCAACUGACGCUGAGGCACGAAAGUGUGGGUAUCGAACAGGAUUAGAUACCCCUGUAGUC